rnacentral:rRNA from 1 species
UACAUGUGGGGCAAGCGUUGUUCGGAAUUACUGGGCAUAAAGGGUGCGUAGGUGGUUUGUUAAGUCACGGGUGAAAGUUUUCGGCCCAACCGGAAAAUUGCCUGUGAUACUGGCGAACUUGAGUGCGUGAGGGGUAACCGGAACGAGCAGUGUAGCGGUGAAAUGCGUAGAUAAUUGCUCGGAAGGCCAGAGGCGAAGGCGGGUUACUGGUACGCAACUGACGACUGAGGCACGAAAGCGUGGGGAGCAAACAGG